rnacentral:rRNA from 1 species
GAUGAACGCUGGCGGCGUGCCUAAUACAUGCAAGUCGAGCUAACAGACGAGGAGCUUGCUCCUCUGACGUUAGCGGCGGACGGGUGAGUAACACGUGGAUAACCUACCUAUAAGACUGGGAUAACUUCGGGAAACCGGAGCUAAUACCGGAUAAUAUAUUGAACCGCAUGGUUCAAUAGUGAAAGACGGUUUUGCUGUCACUUAUAGAUGGAUCCGCGCCGCAUUAGCUAGUUGGUAAGGUAACGGCUUACCAAGGCAACGAUGCGUAGCCGACCUGAGAGGGUGAUCGGCCACACUGGAACUGAGACACGGUCCAGGCUCCUACGGGAGGCAGCAGUAGGGAAUCUUCCGCAAUGGGCGAAAGCUUGACGGAGCAACGCCGCGUGAGUGAUGAAGGUCUUCGGAUCGUAAAACUCUGUUAUUAGGGAAGAACAAAUGUGUAAGUAACUAUGCACGUCUUGACGGUACCUAAUCAGAAAGCCACGGCUAACUACGUG